rnacentral:misc_RNA from 1 species
AAGUCGUAACAAGGUAACCGUAGGUGAACCUGCGGUUGGAUCAUUAAAAAAUACCUAGAGCAGUCUUGUGGGCCUCUAACGAAGCUCGCAGUCUGUUUCUUAACAACUUGUGAAUUGUUUAUUGUCUCUUGUGGAAUUGCAGCUUGUCACUCUUUCGAGGGUGUCGCUUGCAGUCUCCACACGUGAAUUUCAACCUUGUAAUAAUUAUAUUUGCCUUAAAACUUAAACCUAAAAAAUUUAAAAACAACUUUUGACAACGGAUCUCUAGGCUCUC